AAUAUAACAUAUUAAAAAAAUCUAAAUUUUUAUUCUAUGCUUAAUGUGAUUUUUUAAUUUCUUUUAAUCAUAUAAAAUUAGACAAAAAGAGAGAUGAUACAAAAUUGUUAUCAAAUAUGUUUUAAUUGUCAUAUAUAUGUUAAUCAUAUUAGGUAAUUCCGUAGCAUUUAUUUAAGGAACGAAAAAAAUAUUCUUUCGUACACUACUAAUAAAUUUGAUAGAUAGUUUAAUAAAAAAGAUAUAAUAUAUAUUUAUAUGGACCAAUUUAUUUUUUUAAAGAUUCUAAGAAUCAUCAUCGUGAUGACACGUGGCUAUGAAAAUAUGUUGUAAUGCUCUAAGAUUAAUAUAUAUGGGAUUGUCCAUAUCAUAUAUAUGUAUAAUCAUACUUUUAUUGAUGGAUAUUGCAUAACAUCUCAAGCAUAUAAAGUUUUUUAUAUAGGUAAAGAAACCAAAGCAGUCGUGGCUCAAUUUCAAAAAGUGAAUCCAACGAGAAAUAUUUUAGUAGAUUAUGAAGAAAAUUAACUGAUUUUGUUGCAAAAAAGACAGUGAUAAUGAUGUAUUGAUGGCUACAAUUGAAGAUCUUGCAGUUGACCAUUUGGUAUAUGCUCGAGAAUAACCAAUCAAUCUCAAUUAAAGAUUCUAGUGUUAUUGGUAACAUGACUCUUAAAGUUCUAAAAUGUUUGGUGUUAUUGGUGUGGUGAUUUUACAAUUCUAUAUAAAUUUUUUGUUAUUCAAAAAGUUAAGUAUUUUUUAGAUUUUGUAAUUCUAUUAAACUAUGGUGUUAUUGGAACAAUGAUUCAUUACAUUUUAACUUACUGUUCACAACUUUCAAAAUACUAGAGUUAACCCAUGUAUUCCCAAAGUCGAGAUGACCAAAUCAAAUCUCUUUACCAAACAUGCAAAUAUGAUACGUGAAAAGCAUUAUCAAUUCCAUAUAAUCUCUUUUAUCAAACAUGCAUAUAUAUAACUAUGAAAUAGAUUUCAUGCACAGUCACACUACAAUACAUCAAAAUGAUAAACUCAGAAUUUUUUAUCCAUAGAAAAACUAUGAAAGAGAUUCCACAGUCAGACAACAUCACAUCAAAAUGAUAAAUCCAGAAAAUAACACCAUCACAAAUGAAAAUGAGUUAUAAAUCGUUGUGAGUAGGCUAUACUGAUUUUUUUCAAUUCCAUUAAAACCUUGGUUUCCUCUGAAUUCCAUAGGCUAUGCUGAUUGUUUUUUUCUUUAUCACUCAUUGCAAUCUUAUGUGAAGUUAAUCAAUAUUAGUAAGAACAUACACACAAAAAUAUUUAUCACAAACAUACAGGUAAACAUCAAGGUUCUUGCUACUAGUCUAAACAAAUAAAAUAAUGAAACCACACGUAAAGUUAAAAGCAACAGAUAUAACAAUCAAACCAUUUUAAUACAUGAUAUAAUGAAAAACAGAGAAAUAUAUCAGAAAAAAAAGAGAUAAGAAAAGUGAGAACCAGGACUUGUAUUAUCUUGCGAGCUUUGAUGAUGCAUAAAAAGAAAAGAACAAUUCUAGGAUUCUCCUUUUCUUUAUACACAAUUGAACAUACCUUAUUUUGAAUAUAUUAUAUGGAAAAUAGAUAAACAAUAGUAGACAAAAGUUAACAUAAAUCACAAUAAGUCAUCGCCAAUCAAGCCAAAAGAAUAUAUGGAUUCUAUAAAUAUGGGAAGACAUAUUGUGAGAAUCAAUGGAAAUAUUUACGGAAUUAAAAUCCUCUUGACUUUUGAAAUCACUGUGAAUUAGCUCCCCACUAACCUCCUCUUAGAAACUCAAAAUCCCUAAUUUCUAAAAAUUUAUAUCUCCUCACAAAAUCCUAAUCAACAAAACGGAAUUUAUCAGGAACUUAGAAACUUAAUUCCUAAAAGAUUGACAAAAUCUAACCACGAACGUAGAAACCUAACCAAACAAGCUCUCUAGAAAUCUCUAUCUCCUCCGUUAAUUCCUAACCACUGAAGACGAUGGCAGAAGGAAGAACCAUCGGAGAACCGCCAAAUCGCAUGCGAAGGGAUCAUCGUCUUGCCUGCCCCCUUUCGGGGAAAGAGUUUGGCUACCCCCACAUAUCAUGAAUCAAUCUUCUAAGAACCGGUUAUAAAACGUGGAUAUUUUCUAUCUUUAUUUAAUUAGGAUAGUAUGUAAAAGACCAUUAAACUGUAGGAAAGUUCAGUUAUUUACGAGUUAUACCUAGUUGUAUCGAAAUUCAAUCUGAUCUAAUUCAAACCGCGAACCAAACAAACCCAAAAUGAAAACCGAAGGAAACCCAGACCGAUUCCCCAUUCCGGGUUAAUGAAACCCUAAUUUCUGAUUUAACGAAAUCAAAUCCUAUUCCCGUUAAAAAAAAAAUCUUUUGUUCUUUCCCCUUCCCUUUCCUUGUUCCUUUCUGAGCUUCGAGAGUUCGAUUCCUUCCUCCCCUCUCUUCCAUUUCUUGGUCGCAGAAGUCGAUUUGUGUGUGAGAAUCGAUAGAGUGAAAAGAGAUGACGGAGAUGUCGGAUGAGGGUCGCAAGGGGGACCAGCAACGGCAAUGGCGACGGAGACAGAUGGGGUAAUCUCGGAGCCGAUAAGUGUCUUCGUCGAAGCUGCGGUGGCAGUUACAUCUGGAGAGGAGAAUGACAAUGACGCUGAUGUCCAUGAGGAUAAGGGUUCGAAAAGUGUAGUGGAUGGAGUUAAAGAUGGGGACGACAAGGAGGAGGAGGACGACGAGGUAACAAAUUGGAGAAUUCCCAAAUUAGAAUUGGAUUUUGAAUCCUAGUUGUGUUUGAAUUGGUCAUGUUUUGGUGAACUAGAAAUUAUGGUGAUGAUGUGUAGAACCUGGAAAUUAUGGUAUAACUAUAUGUAAUACUAGUACCACUCGGUGAAACAUUCAGAAUUUGGUAAAAUUAGUAAUACGUAAGUAUACUAGAGAAUACUAUAGUAACUUUGGGAAAACUAUUUGGUAUUACUGGUAUAACUGACGUAGACGUAAAUGUAAUUUGCAGCAUUUUGAGCCCAUCGAAGCAAUCAGAGAAGUGUGGUUCAUUGUCGACGAUGUUCCCAUCCGUUUGUGAAGGAAGGGCAGAAGGGAUCGAAGAGAAAGGGAAGAAAGGAAGCCGGAGUUGUUUCAUGUCCGAUUGUUUUACAAAACUCUAUGCUUCUCGGUUUCUAGAAGUUUGAAACUAUAAUUUCAUUUUCUUGAUGUUACAAUUACAGUUACAAUUUCAAAUUCAUUUUCGGGAUGUUGCAAAUUCAUGUUAUCGUGAAACACAAAAUAAAGAAACGAAACUUUGGAAUUUUACAAGUCUUAGACAACCACAAAAUAAAGACUUGUAAGGCUAUCCGCCGAAGCAAAGAAAAACAAAACAAAUAGGAUUGAAGCUCUAAGUUCGGACAAUACAAAACACUUAAACAAGUUCCGACAUUCCAAAACACUUAAAGAUAAGAUUCUUCGAACUUUCUAACAAUCUCAUCUUCAUUUUCGUCAUCCACUGUCUCUUUGUUCUCGAAAUUGUUUUUCAUUUCUGAGAUGGUCUGAGUUAACUGCUCAAUCACUCUAGUCUUCUCCCAGAUCUCACCACGGGCGUCAAGCAAAGCUUGUUUUUGCCAAGUUGUACCGUCCUCUUCAUCAAACCAAGAGAAGUAAUUGCAUCCAUUGGGAAAACGCGGACAGCCAUAAAAGCGUCGACCUGGGUUUCUGUCAGUCCAACCUUGCGUUAUACUCACCGGGAAGCCACAAAUACAGAAUCUCCUACCAGAAUUUUGCCUCCUCGUCGACGAUCCCGAAGCCACUUCCAUCUUCACUUUCUCCAUCUUCAUUUUUUCCAUCUUUACUUUUUGUAUCUGAGAAGAAGAGAAGAGAGGGAGGGAGAGGAACAGAGGCAAGAGAUCGAAAGGUGAUAAGAGGGAAGAGACAAGAGAAGGGAAGAGAAGAGGGUACAAGACAAGGGAAGAGAAGAGAGAUGUAAUAGGUGAGGUCAGUGGAUUCGGGAAUUGGACCAGUUUGACUCACAAAAUUGGAAGAGAGAGAUGUUGUGUGGCUGAGAUGAGAACAAGUGUUUGGAUAAGAUAUUUGGAACAGAUGUUUAAGCAGCAAAACAAUUUUAUGUCCCUCCAGAAAUUUGAUCUUAGUUAUACCGAAGAUACUGGUGUGUUUUUAGUUAUACCGAAGAUAAUGAAUACCAGUUCCGACCAACAACCAUGAUCCAAAGUGAAAUUACUUUCGAUGUUGUGUGGUUAAAGAGGAGAGAGUGUGUGUGUUUUGGAGGAGAGAGAGAUUGAUAAGAAAAAGUGAAGGUACUUUCGAUGUUGUGUGGUUAGAGUGGAGAUAGAGACAUUCUUUUCCUUUUUUAUUGUUUAGGCGCCAAAACAAAUUUCAUUUACUUCCUAAUAUUUGUUCUUAGUUAUACAGAGGAUACUAGUGUUACGAAAUUUGGUCAUAGUUCUACUUUUGUUGGUUUCUAAUUUAAUUAGUGUUACUAAUUUUUUUAAUUUGUUUUUUUAGUUUUACUUUCGAUUUUAGUACUUCAAAAUGUAAGUUAUAUUGUUUUGUACAAUAAUAUAGGCGUAAUAGAUAUAACUCGAAAAAAUCCUUUGUAAGAAGUUCUUCAUUGAAAAGUGUGAUUCGAAUUACAAGGUUUCAUAAUGGAUAUAUCAUGAGUUUGAAGAAAAUUUCAAAAACGUGACGACCGAGUUUUGUUAUAAUUAUAAAUUAUAGUAGAGAAAACAAAUGUAAAACUAUCACAACCCGAGAUUUGAUAUAGAUAAUACUAAUGUCAUUAGAAAACAAAGUAGAUAACCAAGUUUUAUGCAGUUUUCCAAAUUAUGAUAACUGAGUUUUGAUAUAGAUAAUACUAAUGUCAUUAGAAAACAAAGUAGAUAACCAAGUUUUACGCAGUUUUCCGAAGCAUACAACACAAAAUAAACAUAUUACAGAGCUAAAUGCAUUACUCCUAAAUCCAAAUAACUAACUUCUAACUCUUUUCCUUCCCUUCCAUGCGAUGUGAUCCGGAGGCAUGAUCUUCACCUCCUUGAUGUAAUCCAGUACAUUCCAAGAAGACCUGUCGGGCACAACAUAAAGUGUCCUGGAAUAUGCCAUUGGCCACAGUUCCGACCAGUAGUAUUCUGAGCACAGCUCAUGGAUAUGAAGGUGCCUGCCAACGUUUGUAGUGAAAUAUAUGUAAGCAGCCAGUCCGUACAGACAAGAAAACUUUUCAUAAUCCCACACCUUGCAAGUACAACUAAGCUCGCCAAAAACAACUUUCCUUCAGUGUUGGUGAUCUCGUACUCAAACUCAUAACUAUCAAGCUCCCGCACAGGUAGCUUUUGUGCAACAGGCCAUAGCUCGUGCAAGUAGUUCUCAACCAGAGGCACCAGUUUGCUAUCAAUUGAUCCAGCAACAGCAUCCUUCCGAUGUUGAUUGAACCAAUCUGAGAUUUUCCCGAUGAUGCAAUCCAGCAUUGGUAUUAAGGCCCACCUCGUUGCCUCUUUAAACACGUUCUUCAUUGAUUCCACACCGUUGCUUGUAUCCAUGUUGUACCCGUCACGUGGAAAAAAAAAUCUUGCCCAUUUGUCCUUUUCAGUAUGUUCCUCAACAUACUUGUAGGCUGAAGGAUAGCUUAUCUUAAAUGAAUCAUAAGCAGAGUUGAAGUCAGCCUCCGUGUAAUAUCUGCCCAAUUCCAUGAAUCUAUGCCCGGCUAUAUUCUUAUUGACGCUACAAGCAUGCCCUUUCACAUUUUCCGUCAAAUGCCACAAACAAUGACCAUGGUGAGCCUGUGUAAACACAUUUGCUAUAGCGGAGAUGAGGAUUCUAUUUAUGUCACUCAUGAAAACCAGUUCAGAAGAGUCUGGUAUAACACUUUUAAGCAUCUCAAAAAACCAAGUCCAGCUAGCAUCAUUCUCACCAUCUACUACUGCAAAUGCAAGUGGAUAAUUGUGACCAUUAGGAUCUUGAGCUUUCGCGAAAACUAGAAGACCACCAUAUCUGUUCUUCAGCUAUGUCGCAUCCACAGCUAUCACUUUCCUCAUAACUGCAAACCCUUCAAUGCAAGCUCCCAAAGCUACGAAGACGUACUUGAAUUUAGAUCCCUCAUCCAAUUUCACACAUGUUUUUCUUCCCGGAUUCACUUGCUCUAACAUGUACAAAUAGCUAUACAUCAUCUUGUAGCUCUCUUCUGGACUAGCAGGUAUAUAACAAACUGCCUGAUUCUUUCUCACGUGAUUGCUCAUUGUACCCUGCCAUAAAAAGGAAUAAAUACAAGAAUCUACUACAGUUAUCCAAAGCUAUACCAGUUGUUCCUAGUUUUUUUCAGUUAUCUACAGUUCUACCAGUUGUUCCUAGUAUUCCAGUUAUCCACAGCUUUACUCGUUAUUCCGAGUUUUCCAGUUAUCCUACAAUUAUCAGAAAAUUUGAAUUAGGUUUCAAAUGAGUUGCCCCAGAUCGAUCUAGGUCCAAUUCUACUGCCUAUACACAGUUCCCCUAUACACUCUCAUUCCACCACCGAAAUGCAUUAGGAUCACCAAUUUCAAAAGAGACAAUGUCAUUUUGAUUCCUACUUCUAAUCAGAUCCCAAUUAAAAAUCCACUAAAACCUACUUGAGCCAGAGAGCAUAACUCACCUGCAACUCGACCAGCACCGACGAAGAUUGAGAACCUGUGAGUGGAGAAGGAGCUGAGGGUUCCGGAGCUGAGCUGUGGGAGAAGAGAAAGGGAGUUCCGCUGAGCUGAGGGUUUCGGGAGGAAUUCCGUUUCGGGAUUGAAUUGGGGAUUUCAAUUAAGAAUUUCCAUCUUAAUUAUUUAUUCAUAAUGAUCAACCCGAUUUGUUUCAACCAAAUCACCCAACCAAUCGUGGGAAAACCAAUAUACCAAACCACAUUUCAUUUUUUCAGAUUUAAUAAUCUGAGGGCACUUUCGUUAAUUCGCAUUUAGUUAAUGAGACAUGGGCAUAGGAAACUUCACAGACCCAUAGGAGAUUGUUCUAUGAGAUGGAGGGACAAUGCCUUCUCUUCUCCAUCCUCCAGGUACCAGGGACCCCCCCCCCCCUCCCUUUCUCAUGAAGAAUUCGCUUAUGCCCCUCUGAAGUCGCUUAUCCCCGUCUCCCAUUAAUAAAAUGGGAGAUGACAAAAAUGCCCUCAGAAUAUUAAAAAAAAAAAGAAAUCCGGGUGGAAUUGGGUUAAUUGGUAUUCAAACAGCGUUAUAGAUGAUUGCGGUUUGGAAUUGGGUUAAUCGGUUUGGUAUUGAAUAAAACAAUAAUUAAAAGUAGAGGAAAAUCAGAAAUCCUAUUUCCAAAAAGAAACCGCAGCUCCCCUCCCCUCUUCCAUCAAUCCCGAAGCUCAGCUCAGCUCUUAUCAUCCUCCUACACUGAUCUCUCCCGAAGCUUCUCGCCGGCGUAGAAUAAUCGUUUCCCGACGUCUAGCAUUCCGUCGGGGCCGGUGGAGUUUUUGGUAAGUUUUGCUCUCUGGUUCAAGAUUUCUUUAUGCGGUAGGUUGUAGUGGAUUAUAAACUGGAUUCAAUUUAGGAGUAAUGCACAACGUCAUUGAUUCAUUUUUGGGUCAAAUGGUAUAAAAUACAUGUCAAUGGUUGAAUGGGGGUGUAGAAUGGGACAUAUAUCAAUCCGCACCUAAAACCUAAUUCAAUUUGUUCUUGACAAUUGUAGUAAAACUGUAUAACUCGAAACAACUGGUAGAACUUUGGGUAACUGAGAAUACCCGGAACAACUGGUAGAACUUUGGAUAAAUAUAGCCAGUUUGUUGAGUUUGUUCCUUUUUUUUGGCAUGAUACAAUGAGCAAUCACGUCAGCAUUCAUUUUCAAUUCAAAGACCGCAUGUUUAGUAUAACUGUGAAGACAUUCGUGGAGGAUAUGACUUUGUCAAUGAUAGAAGAGAGGAUGUAUAAGAAGCUUGGGUUGGAUGAACGUACGAAAAAAACUGACAAUGAGCUACAUGCCGAUGGUGGUAGGAUGUGAGCGACCUUUAAAUAUUGUUGAUGAUGAGGAUCUUUUUGUUUACUUAAGAUCAGAAUUGGUAGAUAAACUCUCGAUAGUUUGUAAAACUUAUGUUGGUAUGAACUACAAACAGUUGGAGCCAUUGGAGGAUUAAAUUGGACCCAUAACUUUGUACGUAUAAGAAAAGUAGUGAGAUAACGAGGUGAUAGAGGGUAAGAAUGAUGAUGAUACAACACGAGAUGAUUGUAUGGAGACGGAUACCGGUAUGGAGACUGAUACUGGUAUGGAGACGGCUGUUGAGAUCGAUACGGCUGUUGAGACUGAUACGGCUACAGAGACCGAUACGGCUGCGGAGACCGAUACAGCUACGGAGACCUAUACUGCUGCAGAGACUGAUACCGCUGCAGAGACCAAUACCGCUGUUUCAACCACUGAUAAGUAUGUUGAACAGCCACCUGUCAUAGAAUUGACUAAGUAUAUAGAGGAAUGGGGUGAUGGUCUGAGUUUGAGUAAGCAUGACAGAAUUUCCAAGUAAAAAGGCAAUUCAGGAGAUGGUCGAUAGGGCUUCAUUUAGUGAAUACUAUCAUUGUCUCACAAAAAAGUCUGAUCGUAGACGAUUGGUGAUAGGAUGUUCGCAACCUAACUGUAAAUGGGGAUUACGAGCUGCAAGGAUUUCUGAGACCAAAAUUUUUUCAAUUAGAAUGUAACGUCCCGACCGCCCACAGCUAAUGGGCCACCCACACCCGCUCUCUCGGCCCGUGGGCCCCAUCCCGUUCCAGCGAUCGGUCCGUUAAUUUUCCAAGGCUUGAAAUCGUUGUUUACUGACCCUGCAAUCACCACAUGACCUUUCCCCGUGCUUUGGCCUCACUCGCACGUUAUCGCAAAUCACUUCCCGGUAGGUCACUCAUCCUUCCACUACUCCAGCUCAAACACGCUUAACUCUGGAGUUCUUUCAGGAUGUGCUCCAGAAAAGGUCUCAAGACACCUCUCGGGUCAGAACGGAGAUGGCUAACCAGCUCUGAUACCACUUGUAACAUCCCGACCGCCCACAGCUAUUGGUACACCCACACCUAAAGGGCCACCCACACCCGCUCUCUCGGCCCGUGGGCCCCAUCCCGUUCCAGCGAUCGAUCCGUUAAUUUUCCAAGGCUCAAAAUCAUUGUUUACUGACCCUGCAAUCACCACAUGACCUUUCCCCGUGCUUUGGCCUCACUCGCACGCUACCGCAAAUCACUUCCCGGUAGGUCACCCAUCCUUCCACUACUCCAGCUCAAGCACGCUUAACUCUGGAGUUCUUUCAGGAUAUGCUCCGGAAAAUGUAAGUCAACUUUGGUGACAUAGGUAGCCAAAUCAAUUCUCUUAAAUCUUUUUCACAUAUCACAACUCGGGAUGUUACAUAGAAGCUACACGAAGAUGCAUACGUGCUCUAGGGCUAGUCAAAGUACCAACAACGACAAAGAGGGUCAGCCGAACUAAUGUCGGCGUUUUUGAAUGAGAAAUACCUCGGAUAGUUGAAAACUCCAGUUCCAAAAGUUAUUAAGGGUCUCGUUAAGUUCAAACUUAGGGUCAUUAUAUCAUACCCCACAGUGUUGUGUGGAAAGAAUCUUACGGUUUGUGAUACACGUGGUAGUCCGGAAGAGAGCUACAUGUUGAUGUAUAGCUUUUUGUACAUGUUAGAGAAAAUGAAUCAAUGAACAAAAACCCGUGUGAAAUUGGAUGAGGAACGUAAAUUCAAAUACCUCUUCUUAGCCUUGGGAGCUUGCAUUGAAGGGUUUGCAGUCAUGAGGAAAGUGAUAGUUGUGGAUGCAACAUGGCUAAAGAACGGAUAUGGUGGUGUUCUUGUUUUUGCCAAAGCUCAAGAUCCUAACCGUCACUAUUAUCCACUUAUGUUUGCAGUACUAGAUGGAGAGAAUCAUGCUAGCUGGACUUGGUUUUCAUGAGUGACAGAAAUCAAAGCCUAAUCUUUGCUAUAACAAACGUGUUUCCACAGGCUCACCAUGGGCAUUGUUUAUGGCAUUUAAAGGAAAAUGUGAAAGGGCAUGCUUCUAACGUCAACAAAGAGAUAGUCGGGCAUAGAUUCAUGGAGUUGGGCAGAUAUUACACGCUAGCUGACUUAAACUCCGGUUACGAUAUAUUUAAGAUAAGAUAUCAUUCAGCGUACAAUCAUGUGGAGGAGCAUACAGAAAAAGACAAAUGGGCAAGGGUUUUUUUCUCACGUGACAGAUACAACUUGGACACAAGCAACAGUUUGGAAUCAAUGAACAACGUGUUUAAAGAAGCAAGGAGGUGGGCCUUAAUACGAAUGUUGGAUUUUAUCAUCAGGACAUUCUCUGAUUGGUUUAAUCAACAUUGUAUGAUGUUUCUGGAUCAAGCGAUAUCAAAUUGGUGCCUCUGGUUGAGAACUACUUGCACGAUAUAUGGCCUGUUGCACGAAUGUUUCCUGUGCGGGAGCUUAAUAUUUAUGACCUUGAAUACGAGAACACCACACUGAUGGAAAGAUUUUUUUGGAGAACUUGGUUGCGAAAACUUGUACUUGCAAGGUAUGGGAUUAUGAGAAAUUUCCUUGUCUGCACGGACUGGCUUCUUACAUAUUUUUCACUAAGAACGUUGUUGGCGACGUUGGGAGGCGCUGUGAUAUACAUAUAGUACAUCAUGAGUUGUGCUCAAAAUACUACUGGACGGAACUGUGGGCAUUGGCAUAUUCCCGGACACUUUAUGUUGUGCCCGACAGGUUCUCUUGGAAUGUACCGGAUGACAUCAAGGAGCUGAAGAUCGUACAUCACGCGGAAGGAUAGGAAAAGAGUUAAAAGGCAUCCUUCUUGUGGAGAACGGUGUAAAAGGAAACAAAACAAAAGGCGGCCAAGGCAAAACUUUGGUUUCAAUUGGUUGUUAUUUGGAAAUAGUGCCCCCCCCCCCCCCCCUGUGCAUGAAUUUAGCUCUAUCCUAUGUUUGUUUUGUGCAGUGUGAUUUGGAAAACUGCGUAAAACUUGGUUAUCAUAGUUUUUCUACUUUGUUUUGUAAUGACAUUAGUAUUAUCUAUAUCAAAACUCGGCUAUCAUUGUUUUACAUUUCAGUUCUCAACUAUAACUUAUAGUUCUAAUAAACGUAAUAAAUGUAUGUGAGUAAAAUUUUAAAGAACAAUAUAACUUGGUUAUCAUAUUUUGUCUACCUUAUCAUUCUAAUCACACUUUCUUAAUGAAUAACUAUUACCGAGUUAUUAUUGUACAUAACAAUAUAACUAACAUUUUAAAGAACUAAAAUCGAGAGUAAAACUAAAAGAUGAAAUUAAACGGAUUAGUAACACUAAAUAAAUUAGAAACCAUCAAAAAUAAAACUAUGACCAAAUUUCGUAACAUUAGUAUCUUUUGUCUAACUAAAAACAAAUCAAAUGGAGGGAAAUGAAAUUUGUUUUUUCGCCUACACAAUUUUAAACAUUUGGAAAUAAUAUUUCUUUUUCGUAUUUCUAAAUCGAAAUCCCUCUCUUCCCAUCCCAACCACACAAACACAACCUCAUCUCACUUUUUCUUAUCCAUCUCUCUCUCCUUCAAAAAUUCACUCUCUCUAACAACCAAGAAUCGGGAAUUCAACUUUCUCGUUGAACCAUGAUGCAUCCAGAAGAGGAGUACCAGAAAAUGAAGGCAGCAAGGAGAGAAAACGACAUGUGUGGGUACAUCAACAUGCCCAUCACGGGAUUCCGACCCGCUGUUUCUGUGGAGACAAAAUUGCCGAUGAGUUUUCUCUGGGUUUGAAGUUUUCCGGCGAGUUUGAUACUCUACCUAGAAGGAAGUACUUCACUUGCGCCAAGUUUGAGGUACUUUUUGAUAGGCCACGGAUUUUUACCCACUUUUAACCAUGGUUUAUAUAGGUUUUUAGUCUUUUAUAUGUAUUCGAACCCUUUUUAGGGUAACUACAGGUUCAUGUAGUAAAAUGAUGAAUUUGGGGUAAUUUGGAGACUUUUUGAGCUUUGCUGGAAACAGAGAAAGACUUGAUUAUUAAGCCAGAAUGUCGACCGACGAUCACCAAGAAUAAUCAAUCGACGGUGAGUUGUUACCAUCGAUCGACAGCGGAGCCACCCGAGUUAAUGACAAAUAAGAAGAUUGCAAGUUUCACAAAAGUCCCAAUAUUUACAUUUAAGUCCAUGGCCGCCUGUUAGGCUAUAUUAUUACAGUUUUGUAUCAUUUUAGAGGCAAACUUGCCUAGAGACCUUUUAAACCUAGUUUGUAAACGAGAAACCCAUUCCACCAUUUAAGAGAGAGCUUAAGAUUAGAGAGAGAGAUCUGAACUGCAUAACAGAGAAGACCUUUCUCUUACUAUUGAUAUAUUUAAGUAUUAUUCAGACCAUCAUAACCAUGUUUCUUAUGAAUAUGUCUGAGUAGUCUUACUGUUAGAUUUAGGUUUCUCAUAAGGUUGAUAUAUGUAUUGCUAACUAAACUGUUGCUAGGGUGUUUAAAAUAUAAUUCUUCAUCUAGUUGUUCUUAAUGCUUAGUUUAGGAUUGAUCACCCUUUAACUUAGAUCCUAGGAUUAAUUGAGACAAGCCAUAGCUUGACUCAAUACCUGAAACUAAACUAGUAUGAUAUAACUGACUAGAUACACACGAAAGUUGGUCUACUAAAUUAGAGAACACUAAUCAAACCCGCUCGAAAUGCUUUCUGGAAGAAGUAUCGAUCGACGCGGCAAUCUUUGUGUCGAUCGAUAUUUUGAAAGGUGUAUCUAUCGAUAUUCUUUAAGAAUCAUCGAUCGACACUUUCUCGUGAUUAAUAAACGAAGGUUGAAAUUCGAGAUGUAGAUAUAGAAAAUCUAUUUGAUUUUACCUAAGUUUGAGUUCGAGAACAAUUAAUAUCCAUAAACCCCUAAAACCCCAAAUUAAGUUGCUUACUCAUCAUACCUGAGAAUAUACAUGAAUCUCGCUAUUUCCCUAACUGUUAACAACCUCAAAUCAAACCAAUCGAGCAAUUGUCUUGCUCAACCCUUCAUUUACUGCUUAAAACCUAUUAAUCUAGCUUUAUUUCGAAGACUAUAAAUCUACUGUGUAAUCCUAGAGUCUUUGUGGAUUCAAUCCCUAUGUACUAUAUUUGAACCUCUUAUUUGGGAGAAUAAUUCACUCCUUAAGGUAAUUUGAAUGAUAUCAAUUUUCAAUCCUUUACUGACCAUUCAUAUAAUUAGGGUUCAAUUUGAUUUGUAUGAAUAUGAGUGAUGAUUGAUUGGGUUAUUAUCGGUUUCUAUAUGUCAGUGCCAUAUGAAAGACAUGGUUUGCACAUGUAGAACUCUCGAGGGAAAUCAACCUGGAUUGUAGAAACAAAUGACAGAGUAUUGGGACAAUGCUGAAUCCCAUGAUAAGAUUGUGAAAACAUCAGCAGCUCAAAUGCCAGACCAUAAAGAACUUGGUCCUCACAAGCAAAACUCCGGCAGAAGUACCUACAAAUCGAACAAGAAAUGGUAACUUGCUUUCUAUCUCCAUUCAUACAAGUUAAGCUUUAUUAUGUGACAUUAACCUUUAAUUUGUUUACCAUUUCAGGUUGAGGAAUUUCGGCAGACCGGUUAAUCUUGAAUAAGCUUUCAUCACGACGCAUACAAAAAAGGAUGGGACCUUUGUCAAAAAAAAGCGCAGCAGAUUGCAGAGGCGUACCAAAAGAAUAAGCAACCAAGUUGACUUCCCUUGAGACUGAAAACUCAAAGACUUCAGUACUUCACACGAUCCACAGCUCUCCCUUGAAGAGUAUAACAAUAUAUUCCUUAUGGUAAACUGCUUCUUUUAUAUUUGGUUUUUAUUUUGAUACAUGAUAUCUCUUCUAGUUUGAUAGUCUGACAAUUUGAUUUGUUUUUGUAGUCUACUUUCACAAACAAAAGAGGGCGACACUACGGAAUUGGAAGCCUCAAGAGAGUACUCUUGUCAAUGGAAAGCGAACGUUCAGUGCAUGCUCUUCUUCAUUCAUGAACCUGCAAAAACAGCUAGGCGACGCUCACCACAAAAUUGAGAAGCAGGCUCCUUAUAACGCAAAGCAAGAAAAGAAGAUCAACGACCUCUCUUUGGUGGAGAAGUUUUUGACUGUAACUGAUCCAAGAUUUCUUGAGUACAUCGCCAUUAAUUCCACCUGAUGCUUAGUUUCCCUUCUUGGUCCCCUUCUCUUGUACAAACUUAUGUCUUUUGGUUGAAAACUAGUUUAACUCCAUAAGAAUAGGAGCUUCUUUUGUAACUUGUAUCAAAUGCUUGUUAAUAUUUUUAGUUUUCAAAUUAAGUUCAAAUG